rnacentral:rRNA from 1 species
AUGGGAACGCGAAGAACCUUACCUAGACUUGACAUCUCCUGAAUAGUGUAGAGAUACAUGAAGCCCUUCGGGGCAGGAAGACAGGUGGUGCAUGGUUGUCGUCAGCUCGUGUCGUGAGAUGUUGGGUUAAGUCCCGCAACGAGCGCAACCCUUAUUACUAGUUGCUACCAUUAAGUUGAGCACUCUAGUGAGACUGCCCGGGGUUAACCGGGAGGAAGGUGGGGAUGACGUCAAAUCAUCAUGCCCCUUAUGUCUAGGGCUACACACGUGCUACAAUGGUGGGAACAAAGAGAUGCAAGACCGCGAGGUGGAGCUAAACUCAAAACCCCAUCCCAGUUCGGAUUGUAGGCUGAAACUCGCCUACAUGAAGCUGGAGUUGCUAGUAAUCGCGAAUCAGAAUGUCGCGGUGAAUACGUUCCCGGGUCUUGUACACACCG